rnacentral:tRNA from 1 species
AGAAAGGUAAGUUAAUACAAACUAUCUGGUUCAUGCCUAGAAAAUACAAGAUUUGUCCUUUCUU